UACUCGAGUGGCGAACGGGUGAGUAACACGUGGGUGAUCUGCCCUGCACUUCGGGAUAAGCUUGGGAAACUGGGUCUAAUACCGGAUAGGAGCCAUCUUUAGUGUGGUGGUUGGAAAGUUUUUCGGUGUAGGAUGAGCUCGCGGCCUAUCAGCUUGUUGGUGGGGUAAUGGCCUACCAAGGCGGCGACGGGUAGCCGGCCUGAGAGGGUGGACGGCCACAUUGGGACUGAGAUACGGCCCAG
rnacentral:rRNA from 1 species